rnacentral:rRNA from 1 species
UACAGAGGUGGCAAGCGUUGUUCGGAAUUACUGGGCGUAAAGGGCGCGUAGGCGGUCUUGUAAGUCCUGUGUGAAAUCCCUCGGCUCAACUGAGGAACUGCACGGGAAACUGCUUGGCUUGAGUUCGGGAGAGGGAAGCGGAAUUCCGGGUGUAGCGGUGAAAUGCGUAGAUAUCAGGAAGAACACCGGUGGCGAAGGCGGCAUCCUGGACCAACACUGACGCUGAGGAGCGAAAGCCAGGGGAGCAAACGGG